rnacentral:rRNA from 1 species
GAGGAAGAGGAAAAACUCGUAUCGAAAGAUAUAGUGAAAAUAAAGUAACGAAUUCCCAAGAAGCACGCUGACGAGAAAAGCUUGUAGAUAUUGUAUAUAAAUACCCGUACCGCAAACCGACACAGGUAGAUGAGGAGAGGAUCCUAAGACGAGCGGGAGAAGCAUUGUUAAGGAACUCGGCAAAUUGACCCCGUAACUUCGGAAUAAGGGGUGCCUAUGUAAAAGUAGGCCGCAGAGAAUAGGCCCAAGCAACUGUUUAACAAAAACACAGGUUUCUGCUAAAUCGAAAGAUGAAGUAUAGGAGCUGACGCCUGCCCAGUGCUGGAAGGUUAAGGGGAAGAGUUAAGACUUGAUCUGAAGCUUAGAACCAAAGCCCCAGUGAACGGCGGCCGUAACUAUAACGGUCCUAAGGUAGCGAAAUUCCUUGUCAGGUAAGUUCUGACCCGCACGAAAGGCGUAAUGAUUUGGGCACUGUCUCGACAAUGUACCCGGCGAAAUUGUAGUACUAGUGAAGAUGCUAGUUACCUGCGACAAGACAGAAAGACCCCAUGGAGCUUUACUGCAGCUUGAUACUGGGUUUCGGUAAUUUAUGUACAGGAUAGGUGGGAGACUAUGAAGUUAUGGCGUCAGCCGUAAUGGAGUCACCGUUGGGAUACCACCCUUAAGUUAUUGGAAUUCUAACUUGUGAUCAUGAACUGGUCAGAGGACAAUGUCAGGCGGGCAGUUUGACUGGGGCGGUCGCCUCCUAAAGAGUAACGGAGGCGCCCAAAGGUUUCCUCAGCGCGGACAGAAAUCGCGCGAAAGAGUGUAAAGGCAGAAGGAAGCUUAACUGAGAGACAGACAUGUCGACCAGAUACGAAAGUAGGGCUUAGUGAUCCGGCGGUAGUGAAUGGAAAUGCCGUCGCUCAACGGACAAAAGUUACCCUGGGGAUAACAGGCUUAUCUCCCCCAAGAGUUCACAUCGACGGGGAGGUUUGGCACCUCGAUGUCGGCUCAUCGCAUCCUGGAGCGGAAGUACGUUCCAAGGGUUGGGCUGUUCGCCCAUUAAAGCGGUACGCGAGCUGGGUUCAGAACGUCGUGAGACAGUUCGGUCCUUAUCUGUCGCAGGCGUAGGAUAUUUGAAGGGAGCUGUCCUUAGUACGAGAGGACCAGGAUGGAGAUACCGAUGGUGUAUCAGUUGUCACACCAGUGGCAUGGCUGAGUAGCUAAGUAUCGAUGGGAUAAACGCUGAAAGCAUCUAAGUGUGAAGCCCACCCUAAGAUAAGAUGUCCCAUACCGUAAGGUAGUAAGAUUCCACGUAGACUAUGUGGUUGAUAGGUUGGAGGUGUAAGUACAGUAAUGUAUUGAGCUGACCAAUACUAAUAAAUCGAGGGCUUAACCAC